ensembl:lncRNA
GACAUUUACCAGACAGGAAGGGCCUAAUGACUGAGACUGUUGAGUUGCAUUAUGGGAAAUGUAGGAUCCAGGGUGUUGGGAAUGUGACUCAUUGGGGCCUGAAGCGUAUCUGGGCCUGACCUGCACAGAUCGUAACCUUUCAUACCUCCGACUCUUGUAAGUCUUCCACUUUAUCUCAAAAACGUCAAAUUUCAAAAUUCAAACAUAGUAUUUAUCCAUUUUUAGACAGAGGACCAAACUAUGAGUAAACCUGAAAUAUCAUAUCCUGUACUAUUUCUUCAUUUGCAAUGAAUUAUGAAUUGACCCUGGUUUCAGGGUCCAGAAGGAACUUUCACAAGGCAACACUGGGAUUCUUGUUCAAUUUUCAAAACAGAAAUCUCAAAACCUGGACAAAAGAAACUAAAAGUACCUGAGGGGGAACCCUGUAUGCACACCUCAUCACACAUCUCACUCUCUCUCACCGAUUCAGCCCUCCCUCUCGUUAGCUUGUCGCCUAGUCUGCUCCUCAUCCCAUAAUCUCAUCUCCAGCUAAUUACCAAAACCACAGUGUAGCCCCGGGAAAUACUGCUGAACUAACAGCGGCAUAACAGCUCUAUAAUGGGGGAAUGAAGAGCGGAGAGCACUCGUCUUCACGGCGUCGCACAAGUUGAUGUAUCCUUGGGCCAGACAUUUAAUGAAUGGGCCAAGGGUGAAUGAUGGCACUCUUUACUAGUCGUGUUUAGUAUACGGUGCAAUAAGUCACCGUUCACUUUAAGCUAAGUCUCAGUCAGUAAAGUGAAAACAUUUAGAAUGAUCUGAUAUACAGCCAUGCAAUCAUAUGCAACAAACAGUGAAUUCGUAUUGAAACAACUAGUCACUUGUGAAGGUUUGUGCUCGGUCUGCGUGCGCAGUAAGCCGAUCUGUCUGUACGGGGAAAGAACCACGCUCAGGGAGGUGAAAGGCAAGUGAAACAAGAAGGGUCCUGUCUUAUGAAUCUGUAACUCAAGCUGAUAGGGCUGUGUGGGAAAUGAGCUUUGGCCGAGGGCUCGCGGAUUAGCCCCUAUCUGCCCCCCCCGGGCAGAGUCCGCCGGACGCAGACGGAGAGCCCUCUGCUCCACCGAGAGGUUGCCGUCGAUUGCUUACGGAGGUGUUCCAUUUAAAAAACGCCAAAACAAUUUCCCAUUGACCUGCUGAAAGUCCCCGUUUGGGAAGCCACCGCACCCACAAUGCAGUUCCUGACAUGCGACACCGGUGAACCCCCGGUGACCCCCGGUGAGGGUGAUGUUCAGGUAGGACCUGCUCCGGGCCUCACGGGCUGAGAACCGCAAGCAAGCAGGGACCAAAUACACUUGUGUCAUCAACACCGGAGACCAUCCCAGUGCGUGUUGCAUAUUUCCUGGAGUCAUUACAAUCACGGCUGCUUAACAAUCCCGGCCCACCCCCGCGCCCCCCCC